GGAGAGGUGGUAGAGAUGGAUUAUUGCAGCUGCCUUGAAAACAGCCGGGCUGUAAAACGCCCCGUGGGUUCGAAUCCCACCCUCUCCGCCA
rnacentral:tRNA from 1 species